GGUAAAUGGCGGCAAAACCCCCAAUACUUUCGUUUUAGUUUCAUUAAACCCCCACAACCCAAAUUUCUGCGGGUAAACCCCCAAAACCACUAUUCUGUUAGCAAUUUACCCUUCCCGUCCAAAUUUAGCUGUUAAAUGCCAGGUUGACUUGUCCACGUGGACACAAUAUACACGUGGCACAAUUUUAUUGGUCCACGUAAAUAAUUAUAUUAAAAAAAUUAAAAAAAUAAAAUAAAAUUAAUUUAAAAUUAAAAAAUUUUAAAUAAUUUUUUUUUUCUUUUUUUUUCUUUUUCUUUUCUUUCUUUUUCUUUCCUUUUUUUUUUCUUUCUCUUUCGUUUUCUUGUCUGUUCAGAGACUCUCUCUCUCUCUCUCUCUCUCUCUCUCUCUCUCUCUCUCUCUCUCUCUCUCUCUCUCUCUCUCUCUCUCUCUCUCUCUCUCUCUCUCUCUCUCUCUCUCUCUCUCUCUCUCUCUCUCUCUCUCUCGAUGCAGGUACAGACCUGCGGCCGGCGCCGAUGACCACCUGCCAGGCGCACGACGUGCUGAAGCUUCCCCGACCCAGAAUAGUCCAGUUGCCGUCGACGAGGACCACCGAGCCGUCCGUUGACGAGGACCACCGAGCCGGCCACGAGGACCCAACCUAGGUAUCGAUCACCGAUACCUCUCUCUCUCUUAUUUAGGGUUUUUCAUAAUUUUUCUUUGCAAUAGAUCUGUGUAUAAAUUUUUUGGGUAUUAUUGUGAUUUUUAUUUUUCAGAUCUGUAGAAAAAUAAUGGUUGUGGAGAAAUAAAUUUAGGGUUUUAAGGUUUGUGU